rnacentral:rRNA from 1 species
UGGGGAAUAUUGCACAAUGGGCGCAAGCCUGAUGCAGCCAUGCCGCGUGUGUGAAGAAGGCCUUCGGGUUGUAAAGCACUUUCAGCGGGGAGGAAGGCGAUAAGGUUAAUAACCUCAUCGAUUGACGUUACCCGCAGAAGAAGCACCAGCUAACUCCGUGCCAGCAGCCGCGGUAAUACGGAGGGUGCAAGCGUUAAUCGGAAUUACUGGGCGUAAAGCGCACGCAGGCGGUCUGUCAAGUCGGAUGUGAAAUCCCCGGGCUCAACCUGGGAACUGCAUUCGAAACUGGCAGGCUAGAGUCUUGUAGAGGGGGGUAGAAUUCCAGGUGUAGCGGUGAAAUGCGUAGAGAUCUGGAGGAAUACCGGUGGCGAAGGCGGCCCCCUGGACAAAGACUGACGCUCAGGUGCGAAAGCGUGGGGAGCAAACAGG